UACGUAGGGGGCUAGCGUUGUCCGGAUUUAUUGGGCGUAAAGGAGCGUGUAGGCGGCCAGGUAGGUCUGCUGUGAAACUCGAGGCUCAACCUCGAGACGUCGGCGGAAACCAUCUGGCUAGAGUCCGGAAGAGGAGAGUGGAAUUCCUGGUGGUAGCGGUGAAAUGCGCAGAUAUCAGGAAGAACACCCGUGGCGAAGGCGGCUCUCUGGGACGGUACUGACGCUGAGACGCGAAAGCGUGGGGAGCGAACAGG
rnacentral:rRNA from 1 species